rnacentral:rRNA from 1 species
AGAGUUUGAUCCUGGCUCAGGAUGAACGCUGGCGGCGUGCUUAACACAUGCAAGUCGAACGAUUAACCCGCCCUCGGGCGGUUAUAGAGUGGCGAACGGGUGAGUAACACGUGACCAACCUGCCCCUUGCUCCGGGAUAACCCAGGGAAACCUCGGCUAAUACCGGAUACUCCGCGCGUGCCGCAUGGCCCGCGCGGGAAAGCCCAGACGGCAAGGGAUGGGGUCGCGGCCCAUUAGGUAGACGGCGGGGUAACGGCCCACCGUGCCCGCGAUGGGUAGCCGGGUUGAGAGACCGAUCGGCCACAUUGGGACUGAGAUACGGCCCAGACUCCUACGGGAGGCAGCAGUGGGGAAUUUUGCGCAAUGGGGGAAACCCUGACGCAGCAACGCCGCGUGCGGGACGAAGGCCUUCGGGUUGUAAACCGCUUUCAGCAGGGAAUAUCGUGAAGGUACCUGCAGAAGAAGCUCCGGCUAACUACGUGCCAGCAGCCGCGGUAAUACGUAGGGAGCGAGCGUUAUCCGGAUUCAUUGGGCGUAAAGCGCGCGUAGGCGGCCCGUCAAGCGGGGUUUCAAAUCCAGGGGCUCAACCUCUGGCCGGACCCCGAACUGGCGGGCUCGAGUGCGGUAGAGGAAGGUGGAAUUCCCAGUGUAGCGGUGAAAUGCGCAGAUAUUGGGAAGAACACCGAUGGCGAAGGCAGCCUUCUGGGCCGCCACUGACGCUGAGGCGCGAAAGCUAGGGGAGCGAACAGGAUUAGAUACCCUGGUAGUCCUAGCCGUAAACGAUGGGCACUAGGUGUGGGGGAGCAUCUCCUCCGUGCCGCAGCCAACGCAUUAAGUGCCCCGCCUGGGGAGUACGGCCGCAAGGCUAAAACUCAAAGGAAUUGACGGGGGCCCGCACAAGCAGCGGAGCAUGUGGCUUAAUUCGAAGCAACGCGAAGAACCUUACCAGGGCUUGACAUGCAGGUGAAGCGGCGGAAACGCCGUGGCCCAAAAGACCCUGCCCAAGUGGUGCAUGGCUGUCGUCAGUCCUUGUCGUGGAAAUUUGGGUUAAUUCCCCAACAGAGGCAACCCCUGUCCGUGUUGCCACCUUUAGAUUGGGGACUCCCGCAGAAUGCCCGGCUCAACCCCGAAGAAAGGUGGGAGAAAAUUAAAGUUAUAUUGCCCCUUAUUCCCUGGGUUGGACAGGUGUUUAAAUGGCGGGUACAAAAGGUUCGGACCCCCCAGGGGGAAGAAACUCUAAAACCGCCCCCCUUUUGGAUCAGGGGGGAAUUCUCCUCGUGAACCGGAGUUGCUAGUAAUCGCGGAUCAGCAUGCCGCGGUGAAUACGUUCCCGGGCCUUGCACACACCGCCCGUC